UGCGGAGGGUGCGAGCGUUGUCCGGAAUCACUGGGCGUAAAGGGCGCGUAGGCGGCUUGGGAAGUCCGUGGUGAAAGCCCGAGGCUCAACUUCGGGUCGGCCAUGGAUACUCCUAAGCUCGAGUCGACUAGAGGCUAAUGGAAUUCCGGGUGUAGCGGUGGAAUGCGUAGAGAUCCGGAAGAACACCGGUGGCGAAGGCGGUUAGCUGGGGUCGGACUGACGCUGAGGCGCGACAGCGUGGGGAGCAAACAGG
rnacentral:rRNA from 1 species